rnacentral:misc_RNA from 1 species
AGGCUGAGUUAGAUGAUUUAGUGGCAUCAGAAUGCAUCUAUUGUGGAGACCUAAUGGUCAGGAGCAUAGAUCAACCGUUUCUGGAUGAAGGCGAUGAGGAUCUUGUUCUUAGUGGAUGGCUUUGAAUUGAGUUUCAGGAAUCGAUAUCUAGACUUGCUAUUUUGUGAAAACAAACAUCAAGUGCUUACUGUUAACUUGAAAACCUGUUUAGUUGCUUUGUUUGUAAGAAAGUUGUAUUUCUUAAUGUGCAAUAUUACAUGUAUGGUAUUACAAUGUAUGUACCAGAAUAAAUUUUAUAUUUAUAAUUAUUUUGAGUCAUUUUUGAAUACCAAUGGAAUUAUUCAGAUUAUAUGCUGGAAUAGAAAAUUUCCUCAAACUAAAAAGGAUAUGCAUAAUAGGGUGAGACUUAACACAAUCAAAAAAUCACCGUACCAGUAGCUUUGAAUAUUAGUUAUUUACCGGGUAAUUAAAUUUAUGGCUUUGAAUGAAUGUAAUGGCAAAACUAGCAAUAACUUAAUAAUUGUCAUCUUUAGAUCUAAUGGGUUAGCUCUGUUGAUUUUUUUAAAUAUACAUCUAUAUUGAAUAUGAUGUUCUUUCAUCCGUAUAACGUACCAGUAAUGUGUAAAAAUGUCUUGUAACACUAUCCUUUAAAACAACUUCGCAUGUUCUGGGUGAGUAAAAGAUAGAAUAAAGAGACUUUUUGAGUAUACUUAAUUUAUUAAGAAUAUAUACCCUGUCUGGUUUCCAUUUAAUUUAAAGAUGUAUCAAAUAAAUGAGAUCUAU